rnacentral:tRNA from 1 species
GGGGCCAUCGUCUAGGGGUUAGGACAGCGGGUUUUCAGUCCGUUAACAGGGGUUCGAGUCCCCUUGGCCCUACCA